AUGGGGGGACCCAAGGAGGGGCCAAGGGUGGUCCCGAGACCGGUGGUUCCAAGAGCGGGGCCAAGGGGAGGGUCAAGGGUGGGGCCAAGGCCAAGGGUGGCUCCGACGGCCGAUGGGACACCAUCGGCGCCGAUAUUGGCUCCGCCCCCCAGUCCAAGAGGAGCUUCCUCAUUGGUGGUCGCGAGGGAAAGGCCGACGUUGGCUCCGAGAGCGGCUCCGACGGCGAAUCCCAAAGCGGAGCCGCCGGCGACGUCGGAUGAGGGAGAGGGACCAACGUUGGCCCCGAGGCCGAGGCCGAUGCCGGAUGCGACGUCGGAUGAGAGGGAAGAGCCAACGUCGGCUCCGACGCCGAGUCCAACCUCAACGUCGACGUCGGAUGCGAGGGAAGAGCCAACGUUGGCUCCAACGUUGAGUCCAACGCUUGAUCCAAGAGAAGAACCAACGUUGGCUCCAACGGAGAGUCCAACACUUGAUCCAAGAGAAGAACCAACGUUGGCUCCAACGGAGAGUCCAACACUUGAUCCAAGAGAAGAACCAACGUUGGCUCCAACGGAAAGUCCAACACCAGAUCCAAGAGAAGAACCAACGUUGGCUCCAACACCAGCUCCAACGGCGAGUCCAACACCGGAUCCAAGAGAAGAACCAACGUUGGCUCCAACGGAGAGUCCAAUGUUUGAUGCAAGAGAAGAACCAACGUUGGCUCCAACAGAGAGUCCAACACCAGAUCCAAGAGAAGAACCAACGUUGGCUCCAACACCAGCUCCAACGGCGAGUCCAACACCGGAUCCAAGAGAAGAACCAACGUUGGCUCCAACGGAGAGUCCAACGCUUGAUCCAAGAGAAGAACCGACAUUGGCUCCGAUGGUGAGUCCAACACCGGAUCCAAGACUGGAGGCAACGUUGGCUCCAGAGGCAAGUCCAACACCAGUUCCAAGAGAAGAGCCAACGUUGGCUCCGACGCCAGCUCCGACGGUGAGUCCAACACUUGAACCAAGAGAAGAACCAACGUUGGCUCCGACGGUGAGUCCGACGCCGGAUCCAAGACUGGAGCCAACACCGGAUCCAAGAGAAGAACCAACGUUGGCUCCAACGGCGAGUCCGACAUUAGAUCCAAGAGAAGAACCAAUGUUGGCUCCGACGGUGAGUCCGACGCCGGAUCCAACACCGGAUGAAAGGGCGGAGCCAACGUUGGCCCCAAGGCCAAGUCCACCAGCAGAUCCAAGAGAAGAACCAACGUUGGCUCCGAUGGUGAGUCCGACGCCGGAUCCAACACCAGAUGAAAGGGCGGAGCCAACGUUGGCCCCAAGGCCAAGUCCACCAGCAGAUCCAAGAGAAGAACCAACGUUGGCUCCGACGGCGAGUCCGACGCCAGCACCCACGUCGGAUGGAAGAGCGGGCCCCACGUUGGCCCCGAUGCCCAACCCGACGCUGGCUCUGAUGCCACCACCCAGAGCGGGCCCCACGUUGGCCCCGACGCUGAGCGCGACGCCGGCUCCGAGACCGUCUCCUUCGCCGUUGGCUUGGAGACCAGCUCCAACGUCUUCUCCGUUGGCGCCGGCUCCCAGAGCAGCUCCAAUGUCAGCCCCGAGGUUUGGGCCAACGUCGGCGCCGGCUGCCACCCCGAGGCCAACGUCCACCCUGAUGCCGGCUCCUACGCCCAUCCCCACUCCGGUGCCACCAUCAGCACCCAGACCGUGUCCAACACCAUCUCCAAGCCCACGUCCAACGUUCACUCCAAGACCAGGGUCAACGUUGGCCCCAACGUUGCCUCCAAGACCGUGUCUGACGGCAGCUCCGAGACCAGGUGCCAUGUUGGUGUCAAGACCAGGCCCCAUGUUGGCUCCAAGACCAGCUCCAAGACCAGCUCCAACAUCAGGUCCAGCACCAGCUCCAAGACCAGGGUCAACAUUGACCCCAAGUCCGUGUCCAACGUCGGCUCCAACGCCGCACCCAACGUUGACCCCAAGGCCAAGGCUGACGCCAACGUUGACCCCAACGUCAUCUCCGAGACCAGCUCCAACGCCGAGGCUGAUGCCGGGGCCACCGAGGUCCCCACCAGCUCCGAUGCCGGCGCCGGGGAAGUCAAGGCCGGGCCCGAAGGGUUCGGGGGGUCCCGGGGGGGCCUCGGCCGCCAACUGCUGCCUCAGACACCAGGCCUCGGCCUCGCUGUGGGAGAGAACGGGGGGGUUAUGGGGAAACUGGGUCCUCCUAGGUAGUGGGACCUCUAGGGUUGGUGGGGCCUCCUGGGGCUGG
rnacentral:lncRNA from 1 species